CUUUAUUUAAAUAAAUAUUUAAUAAAAUAUAUAUCCAAUGUAUAUUUUUAUAUAAGGUUUAAAGAAAGAAUCUAACUUUAUAUUAUUUUCCCAAACGAUAGCUGUUGCUUUCAACACCAUUUAUUGAAUAAUCAUCCCUUUUCUCAUUGAAUAAAAUGCUACUUCAGUCACACACACACACACACACACACAAAUACAUAAAUGAGUCUUAUUUGAAAUCUAUAGUCUAUCCAAAUCAACUUUAUCUAAUUCUUCAUUUGAGCCACCGUCCUAAUUCUUACAAUAUUAUAUAUUACAUGAUAUAUGUUACUGUAAUUUUUAUGAUAUAAUCUCUGGAAUGGUGUGUUCUACAUCCUUCCAACCUUUACCCACUGUGCUUUAUUUCAACUUUUUCUUGAUUUUCCCAUGUUAGCUUGAUUUUUGAAAUACUUUAUUAAAAUCAAAAAUAAAAUGUGAUUGGAAUUGCCUAUAGUGGAAUGAAUAUUGUGGAUUGUUUAGCAUUAGUUAAGACAUUUUUGUUUUCUUCACAACAAUACCAAAAAAACCCUUCUAAUUUCUUAUUAUUUUCACUCAUAAAUAUAGGUGUAGUAUGUUUUUGUGACUAGAAUCUUGUGCUAUUUAAAAAGAAUUGGCCGGGCACAGUGGUUCACACCUAUAAUCCCAGCACCUUGAGAGGUCAACACAGGCGGAUUGCUUGAGCCCAGGAGUUUGAGACCAGCCUAGGGAACACAGCAAGACCCCAUCUCUACAAAAAAUUUUUGAAAAACUGUCCAGGGGUGGUGGUGGAUGUCUGUAGACCUAGCUACUCAAGAGGCUGAAGCAGAAGAAUUGCUUGAGCCUAGGAGGUGAAGGUUGCAGUGAGCUGAGAUUGUGCCAUUGUACUCCAGCCUGGACAACAGUAAGAAAAUAUCGCUUUGUCAAGGUUAUAUACUUCACUUUGUAUCAAAUGUGGAAAUAUAUAUAUUUUUGCAAGAAGGCACAAUUUAAUCAGGAUUGUCUCUCUCCCUUUCCGUAUGUACAUGUUUCUGACUCAUCCUAGGCCCCUCACUUUCCCUCACUCCCAUAGAACUGUUUCACCAACUGUUAGGUAUGACUGCUGUCUCAUUCUCUCUCACCACAGAAAGCUGGGAAAGGCAUUUUAGGAGUUGUUUACAGCCUGCCAGGCACUGUUCUAAGAACUUUAUAUGUAUCAACUUCUCCUUGAAUCUUCACAACCACUUUAUAAAGUAAGUAUCAUGAUGGCCCCCAUCCCCCUCCAUUUUUUAGGGGAGAAAAUUGAGGCUUAAAGAAGUGGCCUGCCCACAGAUGGCAAGUGACCAGGCCAGAGUCCACACCCAGACUAUUUAACUCUAGACUCCAUUUAACUCUAGACUCUAAGCUUUUAAUCACUAAACUUUCAGAAAUGUCUACCAAGAAAGAUGGCUAAAUUUGGCGAGCAAUAUCUAAAAUCAAGUCCAAAGGAAUAUGAAUAAAAGCAUUUGAAAGAGAAGGCUAUGAUUUCUCACACUAUGACUAGCAUUUUUCCUUAGGUGUCAUCUAUGCUGAAUCUCCACUGGGCAGGAAACACAAUGAAAUACAACUGAAACUGAAUGGAAAGUUAACCAUGAAACGACUGGAGGAAUCUCAGUCAGAACUAGGUCUCGCUUUACCAAGAGAGGUCAGUCAUACUUGACAAUAGAGGCUUUAGGGCCCUUUUCGAUGUUCCACACCAUAAUUUAAAUGAUGCAGUAAAAACAGAAAAAGCAAAGAGUUAAUAAUCAUCUGAAGAAAUGUGCUUCCAUUCUAAACUUCCAAGGGGGUUGGGGGUGUAAGAAGACUAAAUAUUGUGGAAAGCAGCUUGGUGACAUCUGAAAAGGCUAAAAACAGAACUACCAUUCAACUCAGCAGUCCCAUUCCUGGGUAUAUACCCAAAGGAAUAUAAAUAAUUCUACCAUAAAGGCACAUGCACACAUAUGUUCGUUGUAGCACUAUUCACCAUAGCAAAGACAUGGAAUCAACCUAAAUGCCCAUCAAUGGCAGAUUGGAUAAAGAAAAUGUGGUACAGGUACAUAAUGGAAUGCUAUACAGUCAUACAAAAAUGCAAUCAUGUCCUCUGCAAAACGUGGAUGGAGCUAGAGGCAUUAUCCUUAGCAAACUAACGCAGGAACACAAAACCAAAUACUGUAUGCUCUCACUUGUAAGUGGGAGCUAAAUAAUGAAAAUACAUGGACACAAAGAGGAUCAGCAUACUGGGGCCUACCAGAGGGUGGAGGGUGGUAUGAGGGAGACAACCAGAGAAAAUAACUAUUGGGUAGUAGGCUUAGUUCCUGGGUGAUGAAAUAAUCUGUACAACAAACCCCCAUGACAGGAGCUUACCUAUAUUAAAAAAAAUCUCCAUAUGUACCCCUGAACCUAAAAUAAAAGUUUUGUUUUUUAAAAUAAGAUGAAAUGCAUAGGGCAAAGGUAAAUCUGUUUGUGGAAAAACAGCAAAAGGAAGCACUGUUUCCUGGCAAUAAGUAUAACUCUUUUCUUAAGGUCUGCCCUUCUCCUUACCCCGAUCUCCAACUUGUUGGAAAGCUAAGAUUAUUGACCUUCUGUGAACUCUGUAUCUAGUUAACUUCUUUCAUUCAACCCUUUAGGGACUCAAGCAAACAGCAUCACUGACACCAUUGACAGUUUGGGAUUCCAAGGUGGCUAUGCAAAUUAAUCCCUGUCUCUUGCUCCACUCCUACCCUCAUCACUAAUCCUCACUUCUCCUACAAAAGGACAUUGUUAUGAAGCAUCCUCGCCUUGUUUUCAGCUUGUGUGUUUUUGAGCCAGAGCUUCAUUAGAAUAUGACCAUCUGUGCUCCCUGGGACCUUGGUCACCUCAAUUUAUUUGCUGGAAGAUGUGGAAUGAUCCUAUUUCACGUGAAUAUCUAGCUCAGUUUCCUCUAUUUCUCUAAAUGUAUCUCAAUGUCUUUUGUGCUUUCUGGAAGGUAUUAGAGUUUAUGGACCUUGCUCUUGGUUAACAUUAAAAAAUAAGCUUUCUACAUAAUAUAGUGUAAAAAAGCUAUGUCAUUUCUUCACUUUUCUGACUACUAAGUUCUCUUGAGAGGCAGUGAGUGUCACACUGCACUACUAGUGGCCUGCACAUCUGAGACAGAGUAUCUCUUACACACUUGUGAAUUAAUUCCUAACUUCUGUAUAAUAUUCUAUUUACAUUUUUUAUUCAAAUUCUCUCUCAUUCUCUGUACAUUUCUUUAGCACACACUAGAUGUCUGCUGUGCCAGGUGACUCUCACUUAUUCAGCACAGCAACCCUAAGAGACACACACAUUUAGUACUGAAAUAUUAGAGUGGAGAGAACAAUGGUGAGGCAAUGAGGUUACAUGGUCACAUUCUUACCUUGGGAAUUCUGCUUUGCUGUGAAGCAGUGGGUAAAGACAUUGACUAUUACAGCACUCACUGUUUAUCCAAACAGUAUCCCAGGGGAGAAUACAUUUCAGGGUUCUGUACGAGGAAAACUUAGUCUUUCCUGAGAAAUGGAUGUUGUGUUCUUCUCGUCUAGCAUUUCUUUUGUUUUCCUGCUAAGUUUGGCCACCACGUAACUAUGAGAUGGGUUUCUGGGCUCCUUCAGAGGAAGCACUAUGACUCUUAUUAUUGAAAUAUUCACUUUCUCUUCACCCAAUUUUCUCUUUUUAACAUUCUGAAUUAAAAAAAAAUUAUUGACUUUGUACUUUUUGUAACUUACUGCAAAUCCUUUUCUAAAUAGGCAGGGCAUGAAUAAAGAAAGGAUGGAAGGAUGGAAGGGAGGAAGGGAAGGACAAAGGAAGAAAGGGAGGGUGGCAGGGAGAAAACAAAAACAAGUAGGCAAAUACAUAAAAUGACUUACCUUUUGUAAUUUUAAAUUAUUCAAGUUUGUUUUCUAAUAAAUAUAACCUUAAUGAAAUGCCAUCUCUAAAAAUCCUUUAUACAAAGCUUUUCAAAUAAUAAAAGGAAUACGAGUAAAAUGAUGAAAUAAAUAAACUUUUUGCAGCCA
rnacentral:lncRNA from 10 species